rnacentral:rRNA from 1 species
CCUACGGGAGGCUGCAGUAGGGAAUAUUGCUCAAUGGGGGAAACCCUGAAGCAGCAACGCCGCGUGGAGGAUGAAGGUUUUCGGAUUGUAAACUCCUUUUGUUAGAGAAGAUAAUUACGGUAUCUAACGAAUAAGCCCCGGCUAACUCCGUUCCAGCAGCCGCGGUCAUACGGAGGGUGCAAGCGUUACUCGGAAUCACUGGGCGUAAAGAGCGCGUAGGGGGGAUAGCAAGUCAGAUGUGAAAUCCUAUGGCUUAACCAUAGAACUGCAUUUGAAACUGUUAUUCUAGAGUAGGGGCGAGGUAGGGGGAAUUCUUGGUGUAGGGGUAAAAUCCGUAGAGAUCAAGAGGAAUACUCAUUGCGAAGGCGACCUGCUAGAACAUAACUGACGCUGAUGCGCGAAAGCGUGGGGAGCAAACAGGAUUAGAUACCCUAGUAGUC